rnacentral:misc_RNA from 1 species
AAAUACACUAUUUAGUCCCUAUAUAUUGUUUUUAUUAAACUGUUUAGUCUGUCCCACAAUUUAUUUUUGUUAAUCAAUACUAGUCAAAUUACUAUAUAGUUUCUCUAUUUUAGUGAAACUAAUUAGCUAAUCUAUAUAUUUUGGAAAAACACAUUAGUUGAUUCAUAUAAUUUGACUCUGUUAAUUAUUUAAUACUGUAAUUUUUUUUACACCUAAACUACUAUAUUUCUUUCUCCUCUUAUUU